rnacentral:rRNA from 1 species
GGCCUAUUGAAAGAAGAUUUUAGGUCUAGCCUGCCCCCUGAUAUAUUUAAAUGGCCGCAGUAUUUUGACUGUGCUAAGGUAGCAUAAUAAUUAGUUUUUUAAUUGAAAGCUAGAAUGAAUGGUAAUAUGAAAAAAUUACUGUCUCUUUUAAAAAAUUAUAAUUUUAUUUUUAAGUUAAAAAGCUUAAAUAUUAUUAAAAGACGAGAAGACCCUAUAGAAUUUUAUUUAAAUUAAUUUUUAAUAAGUUAGUAUAUAAAAUUUAAAAGUAAAUUUUUAUUUAGUUGGGGUGAUUAGAAAAAUUAAGUAUCUUUUUUUUAUAUAAACAUUAAUUUAUGAUUUUAUGAUUCACAUUAGUGAUUUAAGAAUAAAUUACCUUAGGGAUAACAGCGUAAUUUUUUUUUAGAGUUCUAAUCAAAAAGAAAGAUUGCGACCUCGAUGUUGGAUUAAAAUUUAUUUUUGGUGUAGUAGCUAAAAUAUUAAGUCUGUUCGACUUUUAAAAUUUUACA